rnacentral:rRNA from 1 species
AUUGAACGCUGGCGGCAUGCCUUACACAUGCAAGUCGAACGGCAGCACGGAGCUUGCUCUGGUGGCGAGUGGCGAACGGGUGAGUAAUAUAUCGGAACGUACCCUAGAGUGGGGGAUAACGUAGCGAAAGUUACGCUAAUACCGCAUACGAUCUAAGGAUGAAAGUGGGGGAUCGCAAGACCUCAUGCUCGUGGAGCGGCCGAUAUCUGAUUAGCUAGUUGGUAGGGUAAAAGCCUACCAAGGCAUCGAUCAGUAGCUGGUCUGAGAGGACGACCAGCCACACUGGAACUGAGACACGGUCCAGACUCCUACGGGAGGCAGCAGUGGGGAAUUUUGGACAAUGGGCGAAAGCCUGAUCCAGCAAUGCCGCGUGAGUGAAGAAGGCCUUCGGGUUGUAAAGCUCUUUUGUCAGGGAAGAAACGGUGAAAGCUAAUAUCUCUUGCUAAUGACGGUACCUGAAGAGUAAGCACCGGCUAACUACGUGCCAGCAGCCGCGGUAAUACGUAGGGUGCAAGCGUUAAUCGGAAUUACUGGGCGUAAAGCGUGCGCAGGCGGUUUUGUAAGUCUGAUGUGAAAUCCCCGGGCUCAACCUGGGAAUUGCAUUGGAGACUGCAAGGCUAGAAUCUGGCAGAGGGGGGUAGAAUUCCACGUGUAGCAGUGAAAUGCGUAGAUAUGUGGAGGAACACCGAUGGCGAAGGCAGCCCCCUGGGUCAAGAUUGACGCUCAUGCACGAAAGCGUGGGGAGCAAACAGGAUUAGAUACCCUGGUAGUCCACGCCCUAAACGAUGUCUACUAGUUGUCGGGUCUUAAUUGACUUGGUAACGCAGCUAACGCGUGAAGUAGACCGCCUGGGGAGUACGGUCGCAAGAUUAAAACUCAAAGGAAUUGACGGGGACCCGCACAAGCGGUGGAUGAUGUGGAUUAAUUCGAUGCAACGCGAAAAACCUUACCUACCCUUGACAUGGCUGGAAUCCUCGAGAGAUUGAGGAGUGCUCGAAAGAGAACCAGUACACAGGUGCUGCAUGGCUGUCGUCAGCUCGUGUCGUGAGAUGUUGGGUUAAGUCCCGCAACGAGCGCAACCCUUGUCAUUAGUUGCUACGAAAGGGCACUCUAAUGAGACUGCCGGUGACAAACCGGAGGAAGGUGGGGAUGACGUCAAGUCCUCAUGGCCCUUAUGGGUAGGGCUUCAUACGUCAUACAAUGGUACAUACAGAGCGCCGCCAACCCGCGAGGGGGAGCUAAUCGCAGAAAGUGUAUCGUAGUCCGGAUUGUAGUCUGCAACUCGACUGCAUGAAGUUGGAAUCGCUAGUAAUCGCGGAUCAGCAUGUCGCGGUGAAUACGUUCCCGGGUCU